CCGCGUGGAGGAUGAAGGCUUUCGAGUUGUAAACUCCUGUUAAGUGGGAAGAAAGACUGUUCACUAAUAAUCAGCAGGGAUGACGGUACCACUAGAGAAAGCACCGGCAAACUUCGUGCCAGCAGCCGCGGUAAUACGAAGGGUGCAAGCGUUAUUCGGAGUUACUGGGCGUAAAGAGUAUGUAGGCGGUUUGUUAAAUUAGUUGUUAAAGACCACGGCUCAACCGUGGAAAGGCAGCUGAUACUGAUGAGCUAGAGCGCAGAAGGAGGGAGUGGAAUUCCCGGAGUAGCGGUAAAAUGCGUAGAUCAUGGGAGGAACACCGGUUGCGAAGGCGGCUUCUUUGUCUGUGGCUGACGACAAAGUGGCAAAAGCGUGGGGGCAAACAAGAAUAGAUACCCUGGUAGUUCCACGCGUUAAACAUGAUCAACUGAUGGGGUCGGGCAUAACCCUUCUGUGUCGAAGCUAACGC
rnacentral:rRNA from 1 species